UCGUUGUUGCAGUUUUUUUCUAAUAGUUAGUAAUAAUUAUUAAUAUUUAAUAUGUAUCGUUGUAAAUUUUGCAAAAUAACUAAUGAAGAACCUAAUGAAUGUUUUUACUUUUUAUGAUUAAUGUAUGUCUAUUGUCUAUAAAGGGGUGUAAAAAUUCCAAAAGCAGUGGAUCUGUUAAAACUGGUUCAGUAUGUCCAUCAAGUAUUAAAGUACAUGUAAAUAGUUCAAAAGUGAAUGUACAAUAUUGUAGUACACAUAUGUGGCAUAAUAUGGAAAUAGGUAAACAAAGAUUGUUUACAGAAGACAGAAGUAUGAUUGCAGGAAAAUAGGCAAUGGGUGUUCCUGUCAACAGAGUAUUAGAAGAUAUAAGAGCAUCAACAAUUCAAGGAGACUUAAAACGAAUUCAUUUGUUUGAAAAAAAAGAUGUGCAUAACAUUAAGAGGGAUUAUAGAAUAUAUCAGCAUGAAUAUAUUAGCUACCUUUACUAAAUGAUUUCUUAUUUAGACAGAAAAACAAACUUACUAUUCAAAAACAUUUUUUUAAAAAUGCCGCAAACGCGUUUUUUAUAAUAUGCUUGUCUACUGUUAUCAACAAUGAUAAACGGCAAUACGACGGCGCGGCGUAAUGACGUCAUGGACAGUGAGACAUUUUUCCUGCUAUGAUCCAUUCGUGUCAAAGCACGUCAAAGGAUCCGAAGUCCACGACGAGCCGGAAUCGCAGCCGCGCGGGCUCUCGGGCCCGCUGACGGCGCAUCAACGGUGAACGCGGUGAUCCCGCGGCAAACGGUGUGGGUUUUCGGAAUCGUCUGCAGACGACUUAAGUACCGGGCUGGGUGUUGUACUCGGCAGAGCAGUUACCACGCUGCGAUCUGUUAAGACUGCCCUUUGCCUCGGGGGUUCGU